UACAGAGGUCCCGAGCGUUGUUCGGAUUCAUUGGGCGUAAAGGGUGCGUAGGCGGCGGGGUAAGCCUGAUGUGAAAUCCCGGGGCUCAACCCUGGAACUGCAUUGGAUACUGCCUUGCUUGAGAACUGGAGAGGAGACUGGAAUUUACGGUGUAGCAGUGAAAUGCGUAGAGAUCGUAAGGAAGACCAGUGGCGAAGGCGAGUCUCUGGACAGUAUCUGACGCUGAGGCACGAAGGCCAGGGGAGCAAACGGG
rnacentral:rRNA from 1 species